UACGAGGGGGGCAAGCGUUGUUCGGAAUUACUGGGCGUAAAGGGCUCGUAGGUGGCCAACUAAGUCAGACGUGAAAUCCCUCGGCUUAACCGGGGAACUGCGUCUGAUACUGGAUGGCUUGAGUUCGGGAGAGGGAUGCGGAAUUCCAGGUGUAGCGGUGAAAUGCGUAGAUAUCUGGAGGAACACCGGUGGCGAAGGCGGCAUCCUGGACCGACACUGACACUGAGGAGCGAAAGCCAGGGGAGCAAACGGG
rnacentral:rRNA from 1 species